UACGUAGGGUGCGAGCGUUAAUCGGAAUUACCGGGCGUAAAGCGUGCGCAGGCGGCGCGUUAAGACAGGUGUGAAAGCCCCGAGCUUAACUUGGGAAUUGCGCUUGUGACUGGCGUGCUGGAGUGUGGCAGAGGGAGGUGGAAUUCCACGUGUAGCAGUGAAAUGCGUAGAGAUGUGGAGGAACACCGAUGGCGAAGGCAGCCUCCUGGGCCAGCACUGACGCUCAUGCACGAAAGCGUGGGGAGCAAACAGG
rnacentral:rRNA from 1 species